GUCAGCUGAUCUCAUAAUAUACUUCUCAAGCUGCUGUUCCAACUCUGCGCUAAAAACCUGCCAUGGUGAUUUGUACAGAACCACUGUAGUUGGGACAGCUGUCUCACUUUGUAUUUUAGCUGGGGUGAAUGUCUUGCAGUGCUGAGCCAAGAAGGAGGGGAUGGCAAGCAGGAGACCACAAUCUGAGUCUGUGGGGAGAAUUCCAGAUGUUUUUGCGACGACUCUGGCACAACAGCAGGUGCAUUGCCUGUUCACAUUUGUUGCCUGGCCUCUGGUUUCACUGCCUCCAGCUGUUUCAGGAACCGCUGAUCCAGACACUCACUUUUCUCAGGCCCAAAUCAACCUAGAAAUGUGCCUACGUGGAUCCACCUCCUAUCCCGCCCUCUCCACACUCAUGGCCAAUGCAAAGUGCCCCAUGAGUGUUGAUGCAUGGAAAUGAGCCACUGGUCAAUGGAUUUACAGUGAAUCAUGGCCACAACAAGAGAAAGAUGUAGAAAUUACAUAUUUCUGGCACAGCAGCAUGUUCACUGCAGCAAUUUACACACAACACAACUAUGCUAUAUGGAAACUAACUAAACUAAAAUCAUACUUAUGUUAUUUGUGUACAGUUUAUAUUCUUUGUUUACAAAAUUAUCAUAAUCGGCUGUAUUACAUCAGAUGUCAUCCAGCAGUCUGGCACUUGGUGCUGUGCUCCAGGUGGAUGAGAUGGUGAGACAGUGCUGAGGAAAUAUGAUUUCAGAUUUGAGUUGGGGGAUAUGUUUUACAUUUAAAUAGGUGUUUGUGGAAUAAACAAGCUUCACUACAAGCUCAAGUACAAAUGGCACUGCUGGUGUAAAUAUCAUUUUUCAUCUCUAUAAUUUAUGGAUUAUUCUAAUGAUGAUUUUUUAUGCUUAUUUGUUUGGAUUUGUUUUUUAUUUGUCUCUAUUUUGGCUCAUUGACUGAUAAUAUUCAGGAUGUGAUUCAGUUCUAUAAUCAUCAUCAUCUACUAUCCAUGUCACUGCUCUUUUAUUCUAU